rnacentral:lncRNA from 1 species
CCAUUAUAUACAUACAGAAUACAACUAAGAUAAAUGUAAAACUUCAGUUCUUCAUUUAUAUUUCAUGAUUCAAGUUCAGCCUACAAGUGUACCAGUAUAGAAAUAUGUACUUGGUAUUUGGAAAAGAAAAGAAAGAGAAGGAAGAUCAGUGAUGGCACCAGUAGCACAAUGAACACAACAACAGAUUCAGCAACACCAGUAGUAGACCAAUAACAGUAGGAGGAGCAGAUUGAAAACCAAAUAGAAGGAGUCCAAGAAACCAAUGCAACAGUGUUUGAAUCCCAAUAGAAAAGGGCGAUGUGUACUUGGUAUUUGGAAAUGCAAGGAAAGAGAAGGAAUAUCAGUGAUGGCAGCAGUAGCACAAUGAACACAAAAGAUUCAGCAACACCUGUAGUAAACCAACAACAGUAGGAGGAGCAUAUUGAAAACUACAUAGAAAGAAUCCAAGAAACCAAUGAAAUAGUGUUUGAAUCCCAACAGAAAAGCCUAGCAACACCAAAUGGAUAACAAUAGCUCCAGAAGAUAAAUACCAGCAGAAAACCUAAGAUAUAGCACACUAAAUACCCAGCAAUCCUCCAGACGCGCUCACAGUUAAGCGAAAUGUGAGGCAGAUGCAAGGAAAGUAUUUCUGUUUGUAAAUACUGAAAGAAAACCCAUUGAAACCUUUAAGAACACCUCAGCUUAUAUCACUCUUUAAUUCUGGAAAUUUACUUCAACUUUCAACCUCACCCUCUAUUUAUUUAUGUGAAAAUUCUUUUAAACUUUCUGAUUGUUCAAAAGACUCUCUGAAAGAAGUUAUCAAAAUAGUGAGGUUUUGUUCUGUUUCUUUUUGAAUCUCUCUUAGACUUAAAGAACUUCUUUCCCGCCUCCUCCUUUUCUCAAUCUCCCCUCCAGCUCUCCCCUUUCUCUAUCAAAGUUCAGCCCAUUUAUAUUCACCACAAGCCUAUCCCCUCUUACUCUUUAAUUAUUAUUGCUCCCUCUUUUAUUAUUACCCCUUUUCCUUUCUUUACUUUCCAGCCCAAAAUUUUCCGCUCUAUGUGGGCUCUUUACCUUUUUAUCAUUACUUGUACUAUUGCUAAUUCCAAUUAGGUAAAUGCAGUCAAAAAUUUAUCAUUCUCAAUGGGCCCCCUUACCAAUUAAUUCAAAUUAAAGCUAUUAGGGCCCUACUGGAUAGACUACUCAGUCAAACUAGAUUUUCCUAUUGUCUAUUCCUAAAACACCCUUGAAACCUACUGUUAAUGCUCUCAAAUCAGAAUUUGCUCAAAGUUUUGCAUAUCUAAAAUUAAAAAAUCUAAUUAAAACAAUAAUUCAACUCGAUCAAAGCGGGGAUGCUAAUCAAAUGGUAUGAGUUGAUCAUAUCGGGAACCGAUCCUUACCAACUCCAAACCAGUUGAUCACACAAGUAUUAGAAAUUACAGGCUAAGAUUGAAGCUAUUGAGCAAAAACAUACUGAUACAAGGGAAAGUCAUGCUGGCAGUUAUCCAUGGAAUAAACAAUUCAUGAUUCUUCCAUUUUUCAAGUAAAUUAGUUGACGACUCUUAUUUAGUCGAUUACACAUACACAAUUGGUAGCAAUCAAACAGAAUAAAACAUACCAACAGAUGAUUCGAGUCGUAUUGACAAAAACAAAGAACUUAUAAACUAACUACUCGACGAAGUUUUCAAAUCGACUAUAUAGCUUACAACCGAUUCUCGACAAUGAUUAGAAGAAGAAUUUGAUCGAAUAAAACGUCAUUGAAGAAGAGAAGAUCUUUGACAGGAUUUGAACAAAAGAGAUAAUACAACGAUAUGAAUAGAUAAACUAGAAAAAAAGAUAGAAUGAACAAAUGGAGAAGAAAAUUAACUCAAGUGCUCAGCAUCUAGAUGACCCAUGUUCGAACUCAGACUCGAAUGUUUUUGAGGUCGAACUGACCUUAGUUGAAGUGUUCUCAACUUAGAACAUUUCGAUUAAGGUCUAUUAGACCAAAUCUUUUCUUAAAUCGGACAGAUUCAAUGGUUUAAGGUUUCUAGGGUUCAUAUGGUCCGAUUUGGGGUUCGAUCAUUUUUAGGCAGAUUCAAACCAAACCAAGAUUAUUCAGGGAGUGAGGGAGGUUAGGAGGAGAUCUGGUGCGAAUUUGAAUUGGAUUGGGAUAGGUUUCCGUUUGGCUCGAAUCUUGAAAUGAAGAUUCGAGAAGAUGGGCGAUGAUUCGAGCUAAACAGUUAACAUAUUUGGGAUGAGGGUGGUCAGAUGGUCUAAUGGUGUUGAGACGGUGACCGGCGGUAUAUUUGCCGCCGGAUUUCUUGUGGAAGGAAACAAUGGCUGCUAGGGUUUCAGAGGUUUCGUCUCUGGGUGUUUGAGAGAGACGGGGUGGGGUUGGCUAUGUGGGGCGUGGGGUGUGAGAGUAGGUUUAUAUAUGGAUUAGGAGAUCAGAUCUUGGCCGUUGGAUUAAGAGUGAUCAAUGGCCAGGAUUUCUUGGCUAAAGAGAAAUGACGU